ACUGAUCUCUUCUCAUUGAACAGUAAACUGAAACAAAUGCUUUUCACAUAGUUCAACUACUAACUGCACAAAUCAGUCCUCCAAUCAAAAACCUUGAAAACCCAAUUUCCAUUUUUGCCCCUCAAAGUUCUCCAUCAAAAAUUUUCCCCUUUAUCCCACUUCUUUACUUUUCCCAAUUCAAGAAGCCUAUUAUUGGUUUAAAGGUAUCCCGUGGAGUCAUUUGAGGUGUUUGCAAGCUGGCCCGAACACCACGGUUGUUUAAACAAAAAGUCUGUUGGUUGAAGUGGAGCGAUUUUUGGUAUUUGAGUAGUUGUGUCUGCGAUUUUGAGCUUCGUAAAGUUUGUUGAUUUGAAUAGUGGAGGUACCUUUAUUUGAUGAUGCCACAACCUAGAAGGAAAAAGUGGACCGAGGCGGAAGAAAGAACUCUAAUUGAUAAAUACGGUGAGAUGUUAUGUGAUGGGACUUUAGCCAAGAUGAAAACGAGGGAAAAGAAGUAUAAACCUAUUGCUUUACAUGUGAAUUCUGUGCAUUUUGUUCGUGAUCCGAUCAUGUAUCCAUGGCAAUGGACUUGGAAGGAUGUGUCCACUAAAGUGCAGAACAUGAGGCACCAGUAUACACUGGUGAAGCAGAAGAUUAAGAAACCAAACUCGGGGGAGGAGUCGGGUACUAUGGAGGAGUUUGAUUGGAUGGAGGGGAUAACUCAUUGGUCGAAUUUUUUAAGAUAUAAGGAAGUGUUUGGGGAUGUCAAUACACUCGUCUUCAAUUGUAGCGACCCCAUGGCGGUUGUAGAUGGAAAUGAAAAUGGUGGGGGAUUUGAUGGGAGUGGUAACAUUAUGGAGAACGUUCAGUUUGGGCUUCUCGGUCAUGCCGGGGAUGGUGAUUUUACUGGAGGUAUUAAUGGGGUUGAUCAUGGUGUUACAGGUAUGGAAUUUGAUUAUGACGGGGAAGAAGGAGAUGAGAAUUUCAAUGGUAGUAUCAGGAGGAAUAAUCAUUUGAAGGAAGAUGCGGACAAUGGAUAUGUUUAUGAAGACAUCGAACCAACGGGAUCUGAUACAAGAAAGAGGAAGAAGAUACUAAAAGGGGCGGAGAAGAGGGUGUGGGGUUUUCUUGCAACUCAGUUGUCACAAUUAAAGGAAAUGGAAGCUCGGUUUGAGCAGCGUGAGGCUGAGAGGGAGCGGGAGAGGCAGAGGAGAGAACAUCUUAGAAUAGACCUCGAACAAGAACGUGAGAGAAAAUGGGAAGAAAGAGAAAGAAAGCGGGAGGAAAGGGAGAAAACGAGGGAGAAGUUGCAGAGACAGAGAAUUCAAGAAUGGGAAGCAAUGGAGAAGGAAAGUGAGGAGAGAGAGAGGAGAAGACGAGAGGAACAACUUAUAUUUGAGAGAGAACGCGAAGAAAGAAUGCACAAGAGGAGAUCGGACUGGAAGAAGAGGAUUGACGAGACGUUAGGUCAGCAUCGAGCUGAAAUGAGCCAGGUCCAGACUCGGAUACUUCACGAACAUCAAAAUCUUACUAGUCAGCUUCUUGGAAUUUUUUCUCAGUGGACUGGCCAUCCAACUGGGCUUUCGGAUCACACAGGCGCUAGCAACCAUUAUCUAUCACAAAUGAUGCAAAACUUGCACCAUGUCAAUGAUAUGGUUCACGAUGAUGCAAGAGUUGAAGAGGAUGCUCAAGAAGACCAAUUUAUCGUUGAUGGAUAAAUAAAAGCAAGCUCUCUUAAGUAUUUAGAUCAACCACCUGAAGAGGGAAGGCGGCAGGUAGCGUUGCAAGAUAUGAACAAGUGUAAAGGUGUGGCAGCAGUUUUGGUGAGUUCGAGCAACAUAGCUAAAACAAGCUUCUUGAUUAACAGUUCUACCCAGUGAUGCUACAUAACGACGUACCUGACAAUCAUACUUAAAGCCCCUAAGGGUGUCACAAGUACUGCUGGGGCAUAUGCAUAAGCAGCAAAGUUAGCUCCCUCUCCAAUAAUCACUACAAGAGGUCGGAAGGUUAGCGUUAAAUAUAACUGAAAAACUGACUGUUCCUGAAAUAUUUUGAAACUAGAUACUAUUGCUCUGGUUACUUCUUUCAAAUUAGCAAUUACAGCAUUCCAUUUCCACCAUCUUCAUGCAUUUUUCUCUAAGUCAAGGUCUUUGUAUGUAUUAAUGUGAUAGAAAUACUUUCACCUGUGUUGAAUAAUCUUACAUAUGCAUAUUAUCCUA